rnacentral:misc_RNA from 1 species
CUGCUCAUCCCACUGCUGC